rnacentral:rRNA from 1 species
AAAGGAAGCCCCGGCUAACUCCGUGCCAGCAACCGUUGUAAGAAAUAGGGGGCAAUAGUUGUUCGGAAUCACUGGGCGUAAAGCGCGUGUAAGCGGUUCGAUAACUCCAGUGUGAAAGCCCGAGGCUCAACUUCGGAAGUGCAUUCGAAACUGUCGAGCUUGAGUACGGGAGAGGGAAGUGGAAUUCCUGGUGUAGAGGUGAAAUUCUUACAUAUCAGGAGGAACACCGGUGGCCAAAGCGGCUUCCUGGACCGAUACUGACGCUGAGACGCGAAAACGUGGGGAUCAAACAGGAUUAAAUACCCUGGUACUCCACGCCGUAAACUAUGACCGCUAGGUGUAGGGGGUAUUGACCCCUGCUGUGCCGCAGCUAACGCAUUAAGCGCUCCGCCUGGGGAGUA